rnacentral:rRNA from 1 species
GACGAACGCUGGCGGCGUGCCUAAUACAUGCAAGUUGAGCGCUGAAGGUUGGUACUUGUACCAACUGGAUGAGCAGCGAACGGGUGAGUAACGCGUGGGGAAUCUGCCUUUGAGCGGGGGACAACAUUUGGAAACGAAUGCUAAUACCGCAUAAAAACUUUAAACACAAGUUUUAAGUUUGAAAGAUGCAAUUGCAUCACUCAAAGAUGAUCCCGCGUUGUAUUAGCUAGUUGGUGAGGUAAAGGCUCACCAAGGCGAUUAUACAUAGCCGACCUGAGAGGGUGAUCGGCCACAUUGGGACUGAGACACGGCCCAAACUCCUACGGGAGGCAGCAGUAGGGAAUCUUCGGCAAUGGACGAAAGUCUGACCGAGCAACGCCGCGUGAGUGAAGAAGGUUUUCGGAUCGUAAAACUCUGUUGGUAGAGAAGAACGUUGGUGAGAGUGGAAAGCUCAUCAAGUGACGGUAACUACCCAGAAAGGGACGGCUAACUACGUG